AUGAAUAAAAUACUGGCAUUGUGCAUCGGGUUACUGAUUAUAACCUUACCUUUUUCAUCUCAGGAGGACAAAACUUCAGAUAAACCAUCUAUCCCCACUUCAGCUGCUGCACCUAAAAAUCCUGUGGCCAGUGCUGCAGGAUUGGGUCCGCUGCCCACCACGCUGUGCCUUCUGAUCCCAGCAGCCACCCUGGGCUUCAUCCACAGUAGAUCCUAAACUGGCAGGAUGACCAAGAGGAGCAACGAUAGAUAGCCAGUCACAUGAAGACCAAAGUUUUCCAAAAUUCUUGACGAUAGAAGACACAAGAACA
rnacentral:lncRNA from 1 species